UGAGCUUGUCACUCCUUUGAAACAAACUUGCACUUUCUCAGAACCAUUAGAACCUGUAUGCUUAAUCCCAACAUCAAGGACUUAUAACUCAGCGUUCAUAGGAAGGGGCAGACAGACAUGGCUAGAUCGACUCGGCUAGUGAACACUUCCUUCUACCUGCCGUGCACGUUCCUACUUAAAUAAUCGACCCUUUUACUCUACGAGUAACGGGUAUAAUCGUCGUCGGUUCUAUUUUUCAGCGCGGUACUCAGAUAAGCUAGGGAAAUACCAGAAAAAAAACCAGAUUUAGCGAAUGAGUUUCGAUGAACGCCCUUAGCUGCGGCCCAAAGAAUAAGAAAUUUAAUCUUAAGCGGUGUUCGUGCAAAGGCGGUGUGGAAACUAUAAAUUAAAAACGGAAGGACAACCCCGAAAUCGACUGCAGGAGGAAGCAAUACCACAACGGGGCAAAUCCGCAGAAUAGUUGCAGUGCUGGAGGAUAUUCCCAAGGGAGUCCCAGUGACAUUUUGCCGUGUCCUCGCAAAGAAACAGAACCACCCGUAUUACGAUCGCCGACGACCUCUCCAUUAGGACUGCGGAUACCACCACCAUCAGCUACUUGGCAGCUUAUGCGGAGCUGGAGGACCCGCUGGCUUCUAUA